ACGAACGCUGGCGGCGCGCCUAACACCUGCAAGUCGAACGGAGCUGAGAGAAGCUUGCUUUUCUUAGCUUAGUGGCGAACGGGUGAGUAACGCGUGAGUAACCUGCCCUGGAGUGGGGGACAACAGUUGGAAACGACUGCUAAUACCGCAUAAGCCCACGAUCCGGCAUCGGAUUGAGGGAAAAGGAUUUAUUCGCUUCAGGAUGGACUCGCGUCCAAUUAGCUAGUUGGUGAGGUAACGGCCCACCAAGGCGACGAUUGGUAGCCGGACUGAGAGGUUGAACGGCCACAUUGGGACUGAGACACGGCCCAGACUCCUACGGGAGGCAGCAGUGGGGGAUAUUGCACAAUGGGGGAAACCCUGAUGCAGCGACGCCGCGUGGAGGAAGAAGGUUUUCGGAUUGUAAACUCCUGUCGUUAGGGACGAUAAUGACGGUACCUAACAAGAAAGCACCGGCUAACUACGUG
rnacentral:rRNA from 1 species